rnacentral:rRNA from 1 species
AGUGAACGCUGGCGGUAGGCCUAACACAUGCAAGUCGAACGGCAGCACAGUAAGAGCUUGCUCUUACGGGUGGCGAGUGGCGGACGGGUGAGGAAUACAUCGGAAUCUACUUUUUCGUGGGGGAUAACGUAGGGAAACUUACGCUAAUACCGCAUACGACCUACGGGUGAAAGCAGGGGAUCUUCGGACCUUGCGCGAUUGAAUGAGCCGAUGUCGGAUUAGCUAGUUGGCGGGGUAAAGGCCCACCAAGGCGACGAUCCGUAGCUGGUCGGAGAGGAUGGUCAGCCACACUAGAACUUAGACACGGUCCAGGCUCCUACGAGAGGCAGCAGUGGGGAAUAUUAGGCAAUAGUCGGAAACCUGAUCCAGCCAUACCGCGUGGGUUGAGAAGGCCUUCGGGUUGUAAAGCCCUUUUGUUGGGAAAGAAAAGCAGCAGGUUAAUACCCCGCUGUUCUGACGGUACCCAAAGAAUAAGCACCGGCUAACUUCGUG